UACGUAGGGCUCAAGCGUUUUCCGGAAUUAUUGGGCGUAAAGAGCUCGUAGGUGGCUUGUCACGUCGGGUGUGAAAGCUUGGGGCUUAACUCCAGGUCUGCAUUCGAUACGGGCUGGCUAGAGGUAGGUAGGGGAGAACGGAAUUCCUGGUGUAGCGGUGAAAUGCGCAGAUAUCAGGAGGAACACCGGUGGCGAAGGCGGUUCUCUGGGCAGUAACUGACGCUGAGGAGCGAAAGCGUGGGGAGCGAACAGG
rnacentral:rRNA from 1 species